CCUACCCAUGAGCAGGAUGAAGCGAAAGUAAAAUUUCGUGGAGGUCCGAACCCACGAGCGUUGAAAAGCUCGGGGAUGACUUGUGGGUAGCGGUGAAAUUCCAAUCGAGCCCGGAGAUAGCUGGUUCUCCCCGAAAUAGCUUUAGGGCUAGCCUCAAGGUGAGAGAUACGGAGGUAGAGCACUGAAUGUCCUAGGGGGUAUUGCACCUACCGAAGACUAUUAAACUCCGAAUGCCGUCAUCUUAUACUUGGGAGUCAGACUGUGGGUGAUAAGAUUCAUAGUCGAAAGGG
rnacentral:rRNA from 1 species